UGAAUUGGCACCAAAAAAAGGUUUAGGACUAAAUAAGCACCAAUGCAAAAAGUUUAGGACUUUUUUUACACUUUUCCCGUUUUUUUCUCAUAAUGUUGGUCUCGAUUAGUUAGUCAGUCUCUUCUUUCUUUCUGGUCAAGAUUGGUUGGAGUUUGUCGAGGUAUAAACGGUUUACAGUGAAAGAAAUGAAAGAGAUGUAUAUGGCUCACCUCAUUCAAGAUCCAUGAUCUGAGAAGGAAACCCAAGCACAAAAGAGAUGGAAGAGAUUAUGAUGGACUGUGGUAAAAUAAUCAGAAGCUAGUUCGGCCUUUCGAUUGAUUAGGGUUGACCUGUAUAGGCCCUUCAAGUGGUCCAUGGGUUACAGAGGAAAAGACAUUGAAAGCAACCAUCGUUGUCUCAUAACACCCAUUUUUUAAGAAGGAAGAAGCUCUUUAGUUUACUUUGAGGCAUCAAGGAGGAGGAGGAGAUUUUGUCGUAGAGACCGUUAAUUAGUUCUACAUCCGGCUUGUAUAUGAUACCAAAUCCUACAGUCUAAUCAUGACAUCUCUCUGACCAAAAAAAAAACAAUCAUGACCUCCCAAAUGAUGGGUCAAGAUAUACAAAAACAAGAAGUCAUAACUUCAAUGGAGCAUAUAAAGAAAAGUUUUAAGUACGUAGGGUCAAUGACCCUUGGAAUCUUCCGAAUAGUACUUAAAAGCAUGAGUGGAAUUAUAUGCUGGAAUAAAGGGUAUAUAAAAAAACUGGUCUGCUUGCUGUCUUCGGUUUUUUUGGAGAUCCAACGGACAUUCCUAUUUAGGAAAUGACGACCAGCAAGUACAACGUUUUUGGAAACUCAGUUGCUACUGGCUCGUCUAUCUAACGUGUUCCUAGGGACACGGAGCAGCUGCCUCUUGACUAUUCUUCUUUAUAUGUGAUAAAUACAAUCAAUCCCCAUGUUGAGGAGCAUUAUUCAUAAAGGUCCUUUAGCUUGUGCUAAUUCCUAAUAAGUCACUAUUUUCGCCAUGUCUAAAAAGAAAGAUAAAAGGAAAAGGGUCUUUACCAACUGAAAGAAGAGAAAAACUUAGGCCUAACAGUCUUUUAAAGGUCGAACUGUCGACGAAUGUGGGAUGCCGAUGAAGGACUGGUUAUUUGACAAGAAUUUGCAUGGAAAUCAACACUCUCUCCGAUACUUUCCGCUCCUCAAGAGUCCCAAAGUUACAGAUGAAUCAGUUUUUUCUAUAUCAAGACUGAUUUCUUGACCAUAAAGAAGAAAAAGAAAUGUCUCUCGUAUUUAUAGUUCUGAAGAAUUAAUUCAAACUCGUAACUUUUUAAUUGGCCACCAUCAGCCAACAACACGCGACGCAAGUUCUAUGGAUUGUGUAGCAAGAAACAAGAUGUUAUAUCUCCUUCGGAACAUUGAGUAAGAGUUCCUCCAAAUCAGCACGUGCAUGCAAUCUAUUUGCCACAGCCUGCAAGCGCAAGCGAUCUGGUAGACAGAAGUGUGUGACUAGUGGUUAAUCGGGGGAGCAUCAUGCGUGACAAAAGAUGUGAAUAGAAUUAACUGUGUAUGUCUGAUAUUUAGCUCUGGCGAAUGUACCAUAGAAUUAUACAUCAGCCCCCCAAAAAGAAAGGAAGAAAAGAAAGGAGACGAUAAAACUAUUAAACUCGUGUUGUGGCAUGGGGGUUGAGAAAUAAAGAAAUGGUGAGCGAAAGUCCUACAUGCACCGCAAGUCCGCUCCUCACAUAUCUCCUUCACCGAAAACAUUUCACCUGCGAGUCAAACCUCUCCCCGCGCGUGCCGAAGCAAGAAAUUAUUGAGAAACUCACACGCUUGAUCUCUCUCUCUCCCUACCUCUCUCUCUCUCCAUCUCUUUGUCUAUAUAAAAGAAAGAAUUGUAGAUCUUAUCAGGAGAAAAAAUCGGCUUCGCAAGUUGUUGCCUCAACCUCUCUCUCCAUGAUAGCGCAACACUUGCUCGAUGCCGUUGGCGAAGACUAACGUGUUACCAGAUCGAGCUUGUUGUGUUCAGCAUACAUUCUAACUCGACUGGUGAGUGAAUUCUAUGUGAUGCUCGUCAAGUGAGUGGCCCUUUGCGGUUUUGUCCUUUGGUUCGUUGUCUGUUCGACCUGAUCAUAUGUGUUCGGGAUUGUUGGGAAAGACCUAGUUUUGAUCUUUCCAACCUAAAAACGAGUUGGAUCAUCCUAAGACCAAGUCAAGAUAUCAAGUACUAUCAUAUCUGUCGUCCAACAGUUGAACUUUUUUGACCGGAGAAAACAUUCUUAGAAGUUUUUUGUUUUUUUAAAUUUUCUCAAGACAAAUCAGCCAAAUAUCUUUGAUUGACUGUUAA